GAGAGAUCGGGCGUUCCCCCUUCGGGGGACAGGGUGACAGGUGGUGGCAUGGUUGUCGUCAGCUCGUGUCGUGAGAUGUUGGGUUAAGUCCCGCAACGAGCGCAACCCUCGACCUUAGUUGCCAGCAUUCAGUUGGGCACUCUAAGGUGACUGCCGGCUAAAAGUCGGAGGAAGGUGGGGAUGACGUCAAAUCAUCAUGCCCCUUAUGACCUGGGCUACACACGUGCUACAAUGGGCGGUACAAAGGGUCGCGAACCCGCGAGGGGGGAGCCAAUCCCAAAAAGCCGCUCUCAGUUCGGAUUGCAGGCUGCAACUCGCCUGCAUGAAGCCGGAAUCGCUAGUAAUCGCGGAUCAGCAUGCCGCGGUGAAUACGUUCCCGGGCCUU
rnacentral:rRNA from 1 species